rnacentral:rRNA from 1 species
AUACGUAGGUGGCAAGCGUUAUCCGGAAUUAUUGGGCGUAAAGAGGGAGCAGGCGGCAGCAAGGGUCUGUGGUGAAAGCCUGAAGCUUAACUUCAGUAAGCCAUAGAAACCAGGCAGCUAGAGUGCAGGAGAGGAUCGUGGAAUUCCAUGUGUAGCGGUGAAAUGCGUAGAUAUAUGGAGGAACACCAGAGGCGAAGGCGACGAUCUGGCCUGCAACUGACGCUCAGUCCCGAAAGCGUGGGGAGCAAAUAGGAUUAGAUACCCUAGUAGUCCACGCCGUAAACGAUGAGUACUAAGUGUUGGAUGUCAAAGUUCAGUGCUGCAGUUAACGCAAUAAGUACUCCGCCUGAGUAGUACGUUCGCAAGAAUGAAACUCAAAUGAAUUGACGGGG